rnacentral:rRNA from 1 species
CUCAUUAAAUCAGUUAUAGUUUAUUUGAUGGUCUCUUUGUUCUUCUUUUUACCUACUUGGAUAACCGUGGUAAUUCUAGAGCUAAUACAUGCGCAAGGUCCCGAGCGCGGGGGGUGGGGCGUUCACGGCUCCGUCCUCGCAUGCGCAGAGGGAUGUAUUUAUUAGGUUAAAAACCAGCAGCCAGCAAUGGCUACAUCUUCUGGUGAUUCAUAGUAACUCUUUCGGAUCGCAUUCAUG